rnacentral:rRNA from 1 species
UACGAAGGUCCCAAGCGUUAUCCGGAUUUAUUGGGUUUGAAAGGGUGCGUAGGCGGCUUAUUAAGUCAGUGGUGAAAGCCCCAAGCUUAACUUGGGAACUGACCAUUGAUACUGAUGAGCGUUGAGGUAGAUUUGAGGGCGGGCGGAAUGUGUCGGUGUAGCGGUAGAAAUGCUUAGAUAUGACACAGAACACCAAUUGCGUAGGCAGCUCGGCUAAACUCUUACUGACGCUGAGGCACGAAAAGCAGUGGGGAUC